rnacentral:rRNA from 1 species
GACAGAGGUGCCGAGCGUUAGGCGGAAUCACUGGGCUUAAAGCGUGUGUAGGUGGAUUUGUAAGUACCUUGUGAAAUCCCAUGGCUCAACCAUGGAACUGCUCGGUAUACUGCGAAUCUUGAGCCACUUAGGGGCUACCGGAACAAAUGGUGGAGCGGUGAAAUGCGUAGAUAUCAUUUGGAACGCCAAUGGUGAAAACAGGUAGCUGGGAGUGUGCUGACACUGAGACACGAAAGCCAGGGGAGCGAACGGG